UCAGAUAGCCAGAUGAUCGCUAUUUACAUGAUCUGCAUCGUAAAUAGAGGAAAGUCCGGGCUCCACGGAAAAACGGUGCCAGUUAACGACUGGCGAGGGCGACCUUAGGGAAAGUGCCGCAGAAAACAAACCGCUUGCCAAUUUUUUAUAAAUGCAAGUAAGGGUGAAAAGGCGUGGUAAAAGCACACCGCAUGACUGGCAACAGGAAUGGCAUGGUAAACCCCACCGGGAGCAAAACCUAAUAGAGGUAACAGAUUUACAGUUAAAUCAGGGUUUUUCCGCCCUGUUACCUGGGUUGGUUGCAUGAAAUACGGUGCGAAUCGUAUUCAAGAUGAAUGAUCGUCAUUUAUGUUUCAUAAAAACAGAACCCGGCUUACACGCUAUCUGAUUUU
rnacentral:RNase_P_RNA from 1 species